rnacentral:rRNA from 1 species
UACGGAGGGUGCGAGCGUUGUCCGGAAUCACUGGGCGUAAAGGGCGCGUAGGUGGCCGAGCAAGGUCGCGGUGAAAGCCCGGGGCUCAACCCCGGGUCGGCCGUGGCAACUACUGGGCUGGAGCACUGUAGGGGCGGGUGGAAUUCCGGGUGUAGCGGUGGAAUGCGUAGAGAUGUGGAGGAACACCGAUGGCGAAGGCAGCCUCCUGGGCCAGCACUGACGCUCAUGCACGAAAGCGUGGGGAGCAAACAGG